rnacentral:rRNA from 1 species
GUCGAACGGGCGGUAGCAAUACCGCUAGUGGCGCACGGGUGCGUAACGCGUAACCAACCUGCCCAGAUCUGGGGGAUAGCCCGCCGAAAGGCGGAUUAAUACCGCAUAAACCCACAGUGUGGCAUCACAUAAUGGGUAAAGAUUUAUCGGAUCUGGAUGGGGUUGCGUAGCAUUAGCUAGUUGGCGGGGUAACGGCCCACCAAGGCGACGAUGCUUAGGGGACCUGAGAGGGUGAUCCCCCACACUGGCACUGAGAUACGGGCCAGACUCCUACGGGAGGCAGCAGUAGGGAAUAUUGGGCAAUGGGCGAGAGCCUGACCCAGCCAUGCCGCGUGCCGGAUGAAGGCCUUCUGGGUUGUAAACGGCUUUUCUCAGGGAAGAAAAAGGGCAUGCGUGCUCAACUGACGGUACCUGAGGAAUAAGCACCGGCUAACUCCGUGCCAGCAGCCGCGGUAAUACGGAGGGUGCAAGCGUUGUCCGGAUUUAUUGGGUUUAAAGGGUGCGUAGGCGGCCCGUUAAGUCCGGGGUGAAAGCCUCUUGCUCAACAAGAGAACUGCCCUGGAUACUGGCGGGCUUGAGUCCAGACGAGGUUGGCGGAAUGGAUGGUGUAGCGGUGAAAUGCAUAGAUACCAUCCAGAACCCCGAUUGCGAAGGCAGCUGACUAGGCUGGUACUGACGCUGAGGCACGAAAGGUGGGGAGCGAACAGG